CGACGAGUUCUCGUUGAUGAUCGGUGCUUGCACCGAGAUUCAACAUGGAACGAGUGGCGGACGGGUGAGUAACACGUGGGUAACCUGCCCUUAAGUGGGGGAUAACAUUUGGAAACAGAUGCUAAUACCGCAUAGAUCCAAGAACCGCAUGGUUCUUGGCUGAAAGAUGGCGUAAGCUAUCGCUUUUGGAUGGACCCGCGGCGUAUUAGCUAGUUGGUGAGGUAAUGGCUCACCAAGGCGAUGAUACGUAGCCGAACUGAGAGGUUGAUCGGCCACAUUGGGACUGAGACACGGCCCAAACUCCUACGGGAGGCAGCAGUAGGGAAUCUUCCACAAUGGACGCAAGUCUGAUGGAGCAACGCCGCGUGAGUGAAGAAGGCUUUCGGG
rnacentral:rRNA from 2 species